GCCAGGUGCAGUGGCGCACACCUGUAAUCCCAGCGGUUUGGGAGGCUGAGGCAGGAGGAUUGUGAGUUCAAAGCCAGCCUCAGCAAAAGUGAGGCACUAAGCUACUCAGUGAGACCCUGUCUCUA
rnacentral:sRNA from 1 species